GUGCUUACUUCUGCAGCACAUAUACUAAAAUUGGGACGAUACGCAUAAGAUUAGCAUGGCCCCUGCACAAGGAUGACAUGCAAAUUCAUGAAGCAUUCUUCUUAAAACCCCUUUUUU
rnacentral:snRNA from 1 species